GCUGGUUUGGCUCAGUGGGUAGAGCAUCAGCCUGUGGGCUGAAGGGUCCCUGGUUCAAUUCCAGUCAAAGGCA
rnacentral:tRNA from 1 species